AGAGUUUGAUCCUGGCUCAGGACGAACGCUGGCGGCGCGCCUUAAUACAUGCAAGUCGAGCGAGAACCAGGGCUUCGGCUCUGGGGACAGCGGCGAACGGGUGAGUAACACGUGGGUAAUCAACCCCCGACACCGGGAUAGCCCAGGGAAACUUGGAUUAAUACCGGAUGCCCCAUCUGGCUUUCGAGCCGGCUGGAAAAGGGUAGCUUCGGCCUCUGGUCGGGGACGAGCCCGCGGCGGAUUAGCUUGUUGGUGAGGUAACGGCUCACCAAGGCGACGAUCCGUAGCUGGUCUGAGAGGACGAUCAGCCACACUGGGACUGAGACACGGCCCAGACUCCUACGGGAGGCAGCAGUAGGGAAUCUUGCGCAAUGGGCGAAAGCCUGACGCAGCGACGCC
rnacentral:rRNA from 1 species